GGAUGUACUAUGCAACAUGAGUGGAAUAACGUGAUCUCAAUGCCAAGUUUUUAAAAGGUGCUGCUCUUAAAAUGGUGGAUUAAUAAGAAUGCAAGAUCCAUGAUACAGCUUUUGUCUUCUUCACUGCUCUAUCCCUAGAGCCAACAUUUCCUACUCAAAUGAAAUGAAAUUACUUGGGAGAAAGAAUAGACAAAAAGCAGGCAAAGAAGGACUUAGACAAAAGGACUUCUCACUUUGCUCCUGGCUCUGAGAUUCCUUACUCCUUUUCUCAAGAGAGUGAAGAGACUCAAAAGCACAUUACAAUUUUGUAUAGGUAGAGGUAAAGAAUUUAUAUUUCCUAAGAAGAGAAUAAAGAAUAAAAUGCUGGAACAAAGUAAAAAGGAUAAUAUGCGCCAACUGCGGAAUACAUGCUAGUGGCAACAGAGGUGUCGUUAUUUUUUGUGUAUUGGGGGAAAAUGUGUAUUUUGAUGUGUAUUGGGGGAAAAUGAC